rnacentral:rRNA from 1 species
GGGCAAGCGAGGGAACGUCCCGACCUUUGUGACAUACCACUGUUGCUUCAGGCGGCGUUCCUGGUGUCUCCGGGCGUCCAGGCUCGCACGCGCCGCCGAGGGUACCAAACUCUUGCUUUUAUAGCGGACUUCUGAGUACAAAAACAUAAAUGAAUUAAAACUUUCAGCAACGGAUCUCUUGGCUCUGGCAUCGAUGAAGAACGCAGCGAAAUGCGAUAAGUAAUGUGAAUUGCAGAAUUCAGUGAAUCAUCGAAUCUUUGAACGCACAUUGCGCCCACCAGUAUUCUGGUGGGCAUGCCUGUCCGAGCGUCAUUUCAACCCUCAGGCCCGGCCUGGUGUUGGGGAUUGGCCCUUCGCGGCCAGCCCCGAAAUGCAGUGGCGGCCCUCCGCAACUCCUCUGUGUAGUAGUAAUACCUCGCUUUGGAUAGUGGUUGCGCCUCGCCGUAAAACCUCCAACUUCUCAAGGUUGACCUCGGAUCAGGUAGGAAUACCCGCUGAACUUAAGCAUAUCAAUAAGCGGAGGAAA